rnacentral:misc_RNA from 1 species
CGAACACACCUGGGGUUCUCCUCCCCCGCUCCAUCGAUCUCUCUCUCUCUGACUGUGUGUGUGUGUGUGUGUGCGUGUGCCAACCUCAUCGCUGAGCUCAAGCUUUGUGGUGUACUGCGCAGCCCGGACAUGCAAACGAAGCGCCACAGCAAGGAGGGUGAUCGAGCCUUUCAGUGAGAACUGUUUUAAAAUCUGCAUCGCUCUCCUGCAGCUGAUUUUGCUGGUGCUGCGUGCCGUGGCGUCGUGUGUUGGGGCAGCAGCUGCGUAGCCCAUGGAGCUGGGCAAACUUGUCACCACGGAGUCUCGUGGGUGUAUCUACUACUUUAUCAUCGAUGACGUGCAUCCCGAUGAGCCGCAGCACGAUGCACUAAAGCACUACUACGUGGUCACUGCCACGUCUUCGAGUUUUUCGUAUCGAGAGGCCUACGGCGUGCUCUGUCGUGCCCUUUGCAGCUUGGAUAAUCGCACCUUCCUUCAUCGGUGGCACUCGCUGUAUGAGCAAAUUUUUGGCACGACACCAUAUGUGCAGUUCAUGGACGCCGUACGGAAUAGCCCGCUGGUGUGCCUGGACACCUUUGCACCCCAAGACGAAGGUGGCAGCAACAAUGGUAAUGGCCACGCUACCGCUGCGAGGCCGCUUUCGGUGGCUUGUGCGCCCGGACCCGGCAGUUCCGGCUCCUCCUCUUCCUCCACUUGCCCCUCUGGCACGGUGGCCCUCUUCUCAAACGAGGCGACUGCGCGGCUCGCACUGCGGAGGAUUCUGGACGCCGAGCAGCAGCAGCCACACUGCUCGCCUAACGCGAGCGGAGCCCGAAGCCCUCAUCAUCAGCACGGAUGUUGCACCCCUAUACACGCGCAGCCCGCAUCCAUUAAUGGUGACGCAAAUCAUGGCCUUCCGGCUCCUCAUCAGCCGAUGUUGAACGGAGGCACCGCAGGCAUCGGCUGCGCCAACCAAGUUGAGGACCCGGCUGGUCCUGCAGCCAUUAGCAAUCGCACCGAACCACAACAGGAGGUGAACGGCUUGCUCGACUUGGCCUCUCGCUGGAGGUUGGAUGCGUGCUGCUCUGCAACCGACGCCAAGGGUGCAAUGCACGAGCUUCAGCGCCAGCUGCAGCAGGAGCGCAAGCGCCGCGUGGAGGCAGAGCAACACCGUCACCUUCUCUCACGACUGCUGGACGAGGUGUCGCGCCCAAACACCAGAGAAAAGCAGACAGCCGCCGCUGCCGCUCUCUCUACUCCAGAGCAGCAUGGCGCACUGGAAGAGCUACAGCAGCAGGUGCACGCACUACAACGAAAGCUCUCCGAGGAGCGAACGAGGCACUCGAAGCAGCUUGAGGAACUCCUUUCACAGAAUGAGCAGCUCAAGAAGCGGUUAGGACAGCAGCAUCGAGAGCAGAGUGCUCGAAUCGAGAAGUUCCUGAAAGACAACGAAGAUGCCGUUACGCGAAUGGAGGGCGCGCUGCACAAACGAGAAGAAGAGGUGCGGGCAGUCUACACACAAGCGCUGCAGGAGCGUGACGUGCGCAUAGCCCAACUCUCGCAAGAGGUCCUUCAGCACACACACGAGGCUCGUCAGCUGGCCGCGGUGCGCAGCGACGAAGAACGGCUUCACGUCCAGCGCGCAGCACACCUCGAAGACAUGGCAGCGCAGGUGCGCGAGUGGAACCUAUCCUUGCAACGACAGCUAGCGGACGCCAAUGACGAGGUGCGGCGACUGCGUCAGCGACUCGAGGUGAUGGAUGCUGCCUCUGUCAACGAUGCCAAAGGCUGUGCGCUUGUGUCGGGGGCUGCGGGCAGCGAUCUGGCCGGAUUCUCCUUCCCCUACGGUAUGCUGCCUCGUGCGCAAGCGGUUCAGCUCGCGACGCAACUCUAUCAUUCCCAGCAGCUGCUGCAGGAGUGCAGGCAGGAGAAUGAGACCAAGUCAAACGAGCUAAUGCGAGCCGCUCAGCUGAUAGAUGCGUUGAAGGAAGGACUCCGCCGAGUCAAGGUGGACCUCGGCGCGGGCUCCACGGCUGCUGCUCCAGCCACUGCGAUGCCGUCAUCAUAGCAUGCCGCUGAGCAGGCAAUUCUUUCUGGGCUGCAGUUUGCAGAAGAGUUUGUCAUCCCUACAGCGCCUAGAGGCGCAUCCCGCGAACAAGAGGAUCACGCAUGAAUCCACGCACACACCAUAGACUGUCAGCAUAGAACGAGAACGACUGCGGCCGCCGCGCAUUCGCCGACCGGGUGGCGGUCUGUUUUGUUUUGUACUUUACAUCUCUUUCCCUCCACUGCGGGGAAAGGUGUGGGCUGCUAUGUGGCUACAACACACACCGCUGAAGCCAGAACCACGUACGGGUCAGAUGCAGCUGCUGCUGUGCGCGCGUAACAUCGUUUCCGUGCUCUGAAUGGGCGGUGCCGUGUGCAAGGACCGUCAGGGAAGGGUUCUGAAACGGCCCCCUUUUUGUGUAGAGGCGAGUAUUGCGAAUUGUGAUCUUCGGAGUCGCAUAGACGACCCUUCGACGGCUCUUUGCAUCCCUGAAGCAUGAUGCAGGUG